rnacentral:misc_RNA from 1 species
GCAGAGCUUCAGAGGAAUUCAUCAUUGAUUUGGUUAAUCCAGAAGUAAUUUCUGACCUCAGAAAUAUUGCAAAUUUAAUGCUCAUCUCCGGUUAUGGUCAUGAAUGUUCCCAGGCAUAUAUUAGUGUUAGAAGAGAUGCCUUGGAUGAAUGUCUCUUUAUCCUUGAAAUGGAGAAACUGAGCAUUGAGGAUGUGCUGAAAUUGGAGUGGGGCAGCUUGAAUUCCAGGAUCAAGAGAUGGGUUAGGGCUAUGAAGAUCUUUGUGCGGGUCUAUCUUGCUAGCGAGAAAUGGCUCACUGAACAAAUUUUUGGAGAUCUUGGAACAGUUAAUUUGGUUUGUUUUUCUGAGGCUUCAAAAGCUUCAAUGUUGCAGCUAUUAAAUUUUGGCGAAGCCAUUUCUAUUGG